rnacentral:pre_miRNA from 1 species
UGUAAACAUCCUACACUCUCAGCUGUCAAGUCAAGGAGGCUGGGAGAGGGUUGUUUACUCC